rnacentral:rRNA from 1 species
UCCUACGGGACGCAGCAGUAGGGAAUUUUCGUCAAUGGGCGCAAGCCUGAACGAGCAAUGCCGCGUGAACGAGGAAGGUCUUCGGAUCGUAAAGUUCUGUUGAAGGGGAAAAAGAGCGGAGAGAGGAAAUGGUCUCCGAUUGAUAUUACCCUUCGAGGAAGUCACGGCUAACUACGUGCCAGCAGCCGCGGUAAUACGUAGGUGGCGAGCGUUAUCCGGAAUGAUUGGGCGUAAAGGGUGCGCAGGCGGUCCUGCAAGUCUGGAGUGAAACGUAUGAGCUCAACUCAUGCAUGGCUCUGGAAACU